CCCUUAGAUGUUCUGGGCUGCACGCGUGCUACACUGAUGUAUUCAAUAAGCUCCCAACCCACUCCGAAGGGAUCGGGUAACCUUCGAAAAUCACAUCGUGAUGGGGAUAGACUGUUGCAAUUAUAAGUCUUUAACGAGGAAUUCCUAGUAAGUGCAGGUCAUCAGCUUGUGUUGAUUACGUCCCUGCCCUUUGUACACACCGCCCGUCGCUCCUGCCGAUUGAGUGAUCCGGUGAGUCCUUUAGAGUGUGUUGCAUUUAGUUUCUAUCCGUGACGUGUGAAGUUGAACAAACCUUAUCACUUAGAGGAAGGAGAAGUCGUAACA
rnacentral:rRNA from 1 species